UAUUUGAUUUCCUUCGGGACUGAUUAUUUUGUGACUGAGUGGCGGACGGGUGAGUAACGCGUGGGUAACCUGCCUUGUACAGGGGGAUAACAGUUGGAAACGGCUGCUAAUACCGCAUAAGCGCACGGCAUCGCAUGAUGCAGUGUGAAAAACUCCGGUGGUAUAAGAUGGACCCGCGUUGGAUUAGCUAGUUGGUGAGGUAACGGCCCACCAAGGCGACGAUCCAUAGCCGACCUGAGAGGGUGACCGGCCACAUUGGGACUGAGACACGGCCCAAACUCCUACGGGAGGCAGCAGUGGGGAAUAUUGCACAAUGGGCGAAAGCCUGAUGCAGCGACGCCGCGUGAGCGAAGAAGUAUUUCGGUAUGUAAAGCUCUAUCAGCAGGGAAGAUAAUGACGGUACCUGACUAAGAAGCACCGGCUAAAUACGUGCCAGCAGCCGCGGUAAUACGUAUGGUGCAAGCGUUAUCCGGAUUUACUGGGUGUAAAGGGAGCGCAGGCGGUGCGGCAAGUCUGAUGUGAAAGCCCGGGGCUCAACCCCGGUACUGCAUUGGAAACUGUCGUACUAGAGUGUCGGAGGGGUAAGCGGAAUUCCUAGUGUAGCGGUGAAAUGCGUAGAUAUUAGGAGGAACACCAGUGGCGAAGGCGGCUUACUGGACGAUAACUGACGCUGAGGCUCGAAAGCGUGGGGAGCAAACAGGAUUAGAUACCCUGGUAGUCCACGCCGUAAACGAUGA
rnacentral:rRNA from 1 species